GGGCCUCGAGGGCUCGAAUACAAGCUCGAUACACAAGAGAGUCAGCAGAAGCAACAAUAUCUGAGUACAGACAUAAAUUAAACAAGGAUGCCUUAAAAAGGCUAGCAUAAAAGCAACACAAUCGAAGAGGCAAGGCCUCCUACCUGGGACCUCCUAAACUACUCCUAGUCAUCGGCGGUCUCCAGUAGCAGUAUCCGUCGUCGAUGGCCUCUGGCUCCAGGGAUCCACCAUCUUGUUGCAUCAACCGAAAAGAAGAAAGAAGGGGGAAAAGGCGUAGCAAAGCAACCGUGAGUACUCAUCCAAAGUACUCGCAAGCAUCAGAUCUAUACUAAGUAUGCAUUGAUAUCAAAUGGAAGGUUUGUAUCUAUGGACAAAACUGCAGAAAGCCAGAAUAGAGGGGAAGGCCUAGCCUAUCGAAGACUAGCAUCUUCAAGCAGCUCUGAGCAUCUUGCAGCAUGUAGGAGAGUAAAGAAUAGCAGUUUAAUUAACAAACAUGUUGUAACAUUAAUGCCCAGAGAUCCUUCCUCGACUCCCUGCGAGAAAGCAAUCCCGGAGCCACAUAUCUCAAGUAUCCAUUUGUAGUUGUAUAAGAUCAAGAUAUAAGUCUAAACGUCCGUUACCAUGGACGCGGCUAUUAAUAAAUAAUCUUCCUUAUAGGGGUGCACCACCUUACCCAACAUGCUCGAUCACUCUGGCCGGACACACCUUUCUGGGGUCAAUGCCCGGCCUCGAAAGAUCAACACGUCGCAGCCCUACCUAGGCUCAGCAGAGAAGUCCCCACUGGUCUACAUCCUAAGCACUCCAGGGUCUUGGGCCCAUCGCCCGCAACACUCCGGGUCGUUGUGCGACGAGCCGGGACGAGCACCACCUCAUACUGGAUGGCACUGGCCUGACAGGCCCACGAUGCUGAACUGGACGUCUGACAAAGCUUCGGCUGAUACUACGACGUCGAGGCCCAUAACUAUUCUCACGUGGUGGUUAGUGCGUAAAGGCCAAAGGCCAACUCAGAACAAAUACCCAAACCAUAGUGUAUUAUUAGCUUGCGGAGACGAGCAGAGACUCACGAUCGAAGUGACCCCGUCGCCACGUCUCGUGGACUUACGGCAAGGGCUCAGAAUGCCCGGCUGUGCCACGUCAUUAUCUUGCGGGUGCUCUCCGGGCCCGCCCGACUCUCACCAAUGUCUCAAGUAAAUUCAUUGUAACCGUGUGCCCAAACAUCAAGGGAAAACUCAAGGAAUCACCCCCGGUGGAUUCCACUCGAUGUAAUCAUCAAGGUGAACGUAAGAGGAUCCACCCUCGAGGUUCACACUUGAGGUGUUGCACGACAGAGCCGUAUCGGGAAUGGUGAAAGAGGAACCACCCUCAAUGACCACGACUGAAUAGCUACGCCACAGAAUUAUCAUCAGGAGUGCGUUAUGAGGGGUCACCCUCGGCACUCGAUAGUAGCUCUGCAGAGUCGAGCAACUAAAGGGGCGUGAUGUGAUGUGAGGUGUCGAGCUCUGGUCGUCGAUCACGUUGAUUGAGUCAUCGAUGAUGAAGCAGGGGCAACAAGGACAAGGUAGGGGUCACUGAUGGAUCACUAACCAACCUAUACUAAGCAGUUUAGGAUAAGCAGGUAAGGUACAAUAGCAGGUUACAAAAGCAGGCUAUGCAUCAGAAUAGGAGCAAUCAAGUACAGUAGCAAAAUCUAAUGCAAGCAUUAAAGAAUAGAAUGAGCGAUAUCGGGAUGAUCAAAGGGGGAGGCUUCCUUGAAAGCUCCGCUGAAAGGGAAGAAGGGUCGUCGUCGACGUAGUCGAUAACAAGGGCAGCAUCAGUCUCGGGGUCUACCAGAGAGAAGAGGGGGAAGAAACAGUAAAUACAGAGCAAACAGAUGCAUGAUAAGUAAUAAGCAGCGCUAGGGGUGAUCUAACGCAAUGCUACACGAUACCGGUGAAGGGGAAUAACAUCCGGGAAUGUUCCCCCGAAUUUGUCAUUUUUCGGACAGACGAACUGGAGGGGGAAGGUUGCAUGUUCGCUAUGCUAGGGAUGUGUGGCAGAAGAACAGACUGCGUAUUCGGAUUUGUCUCGCCUUUCUGUGCAACUUUCAUGAAUAAAACUUUUUCAUCCGAGAUACGGUUUAUUUUAUAUUAAAUUUCAAAGUUCUAUUAAUAUUCUAGAUUUUCUAUAUUACUUUUAAUUUGAGUUGACUAAGUCAAUUGACUAGUCAAAAAGGAGAGCUGUGACCCACAUGUCAUGGACUAUUUAACUAAACAAAUAAAUAAACCUAACUUAUUUAAUGAGGCUUACAUGUCAUCUACUACUAGACUAACUUAGCACUAAUUAAUACUACUAGCUAAACCUAGUACUCCUACUAACAAGGGCUGGCCACUAUUGGGCAGAACCCACACGCACGGCACACACACAGCACGCAACACACAAUGCUAGAGGUUAAAAUUGUUUUCUGUCAACAGAAGAAAGCAUUUUGUGAUUUUCAUAGAAUUUAAUCCGCACAUCAAAUGAAUUUGGUCCAGUGGGGUAAAAUGAAGUUUGUCAAGUAUACUAUCUUCCCAUAUUUUCUUUGGUCCUGUUAGUAGUUGUUUAGCCGCAGUUUAAGGGCAGUCGAGGGGGUUACUCGAUGUAAAAUUCGCAAAGCUAGCCAUAGCUACAGUGCUUAGCAGCAGUUCAUGCAGAGGAGCCGUGGAGCGCGUGGUUGGUCGUGGCGGGCGUAGGCGGAGCAGCCGCAACAGCAAGCAAAACCAUACGCGGGCGAGCGCGAGCGGAGCGCAGCACGGCAGCAGCAAGCAGCAGGAGCGGGGGCGCGGGCACGCGCGCACGAGGCACUCGCGGUGCAGGGCGAGUUGCAGAGGACCGGGUAGUGGCGACCUACGGCUAUGGCGGCGGGUUAGCUACGGGGCACGGGCGAGCUAACGGCAAGGAGGAGGAGGAGCGCAUGCUCACCGAGGAACCGGUCGUGGAGGGCAGCGGGCUCGGGAGGCCUGCCGGAGUCGGAGUAGUCAACGGAGUCCGGCGAGACCGAGGAGGAAGAAGACGGCGGUGCGGGCGCUCCGGUCGCUCCCGGCCAGCGCGCGUGGUCGGAGUUGGGAGAGAGGACGCGGGCGGAGCUCGCAGACUUGACGGAUGGAUGUGGGGGCGUCGGUGGCCGCGGUGGAGCGCGGGGAACG
rnacentral:lncRNA from 1 species